GAUGCAACGCGAAGAACCUUACCACUUCUUGACAUGGAGAUUAGAUCCUUCUUAACAGAAGGGCGCAGUUCGGCUGGAUCUCGCACAGGUGCUGCAUGGCUGUCGUCAGCUCGUGUCGUGAGAUGUUGGGUUAAGUCCCGCAACGAGCGCAACCCUCAUCCUUAGUUGCCAGCGGGUUGAGCCGGGCACUUUAAGGAGACUGCCAGUGGUAAACUGGAGGAAGGUGGGGAUGAUGUCAAGUCAGCACGGCCCUUAUGGGGUGGGCUACACACGUGCUACAAUGGU
rnacentral:rRNA from 1 species